UCCUUCGAUCCCCCUCCGCUCCUAUACGUGAAAAAAGGAUCUCCUCGCACGAAAGAAAAGAAAAAGAAAAAACAACCCACGUACUCACGUCAUCCCGCGACCACCCGCGUGCUUCCGUCCCCUCACCAAUGAUCUAGGCGGCGUACCGCCCUAUCCAACCGCACCACCCUACGCCAUGUCGCCGCUCCGCCGUGCUUCAUCUUUAUCAAGCCGCCGGGAGAUGGGAAGCGGGCCCCUUCUCUGUUGAUGAGGUUAUACCGGAGGUUGCACAACAGUUCGGGAGGUCAAGGUUAACUAUAGCCCAAGAUCCCGGGCGACGAUCAGGUGACCGGCUGGUGUGAUGUCCAUGUUCCCGUCGGUGAAUCCCCUCUGCGUGGUUGUCUUAUGUGAGUCCUCUGCAAGGUCACCUCCAACGCGGCGACAGAGGUGUUCGACGAGUUCAUCAGGAGACUGCGCAUGGAGCACCACAAUGUCUCCACCCUGUCGUUGCUCAACAACGACCUCGAGAGUCGAUAUGACCGGCUGGGGGUUUCCCGCUUGCCGUUGAGGCCUUCCGCGACUCAGUCCACAGCGCCGCCUGCUUUGGCCUAAUCGGGAAUUCGGGAUAGAAGACGUACAACCACCCAUAAGUUUCUCUUCCUUCUCCUCUCUUAACUUUUUGUAAUGUCCCAAAUCAUCUAUUUCAUCAUCACCAAGAUACAGCCAUACAUGAGAGCUUGCGAAUGAGGAAUUGGAGACGACGAGGAAGCAGGGGGUGAGGUUCAGAGAACGAGGGAGAGAGAGUUCAGAGAGUUCAAAGAACGAGGGGGUGAGGUUCCCAGGACACACUAGCCAGCUCACAAAGCUCUCUUGCAUGGAUAUUCUGAGCCAGGCGACUUAUUCCCGCUGACACAUGCGUAGGUGUGACAAUUUUGUACGGUUCUCUUCUCGGUCUGAUUCCUAAUAGAGAAUUCAAGUAAAAAACUCCAGCUUGAUUUCUUAAUUAUGAUCUGCACUAAUAGUACAGAUGCAUAUUCUCUUAAAUUUUAUACGGUUCUCUUCUUGGUCUGAUUCCUAAUACAAAACUUGUGCUGGAUCUUGAUUUAUUGGUUAUGACAUGCACUAUUAUUUUUCGUCAGAUUCUUCCAGCAACUUCUAAUGGAGAUGGGAUAAUAGUUCCAGGAUAAAGAAGAGGUAUGAGCAUGGACUUCUAAUACUUCUCUAUAAGUUUGACAUUUUUUGACACUUCCUGCAAAAAGAAAGUAAAUCUGUCAUUGUUGAGAUGUAGUCCACGAGAAAUUGUGCUUUUCAGUUCCUAAACAUUGUGAGAGUUUUGCUUGAUCUGUAACUGAAAUCUGAUAGUCUUGUUGUGUUUGUUACGCCAUUCUGUAUGUGGAAUAGUCUUCUUGUUGUGAUGAAUAGGCGCAGGGGCGGCAAUCGGAGGAGAGCGGGGCGGAUGGGGUGGCGAACGACGAGGUCACACGGAUGGAUAUAGCAGCACAUCAGAGUUAACUUCAUAUUUCUCGCUGACAAAUAUUUUGCUUUUGCUUAGUAUCCCACAUCAUGUUAGUGCUGCAUCUAUCUUAUUUGUUUACUGAAACUAGGAGUAGUAGUACAUCAUAGUUGUUGCUAAAAAUACUCCUACGACAGGUGAUAUUGCUUUGAUCAUAAAUGAAUUGCUGUGGAACUAUAUAAUCUCGACGAUUAGAUGAAGAUGAUAAACAUUGUCAUUGUCUUGGGCGUUUGGAUGAUUUGGAAGGAGCGAUACAACAGAGUUUUGAAGGAAAAUUCUCCCGUUUGGAUCGCACAUCGAACAAAUUAAGUGUGGUGCGCACAACUGGUGUAAGGCAGGGGCCAAAUUUCUUGCACACUUGUUUGUUUAACAUAACUGCUCUGUUCUUCUCAGCUUAUCCCAUUUUUCAGAACAUGUUCUGGGAGUGUCAAGCAUUUAUUUUCAAGGUCGACAGUUCCUCGUCGAACAUUGGACCUUUUACCAAGUAUGGGGUCGCUUCAGGCAAGAGGAAUAAGUUUUCCUUCGCUGCUAUCUUGGUCGCAUGCUCCUUUCAGCAAGAACGUAACAACUUGAUGUUUGAAUGGUUCAAGGCUUAUGCUUUGUGCUUUGUAUCUCUCUGUCCGACAAGGUUUAUGGUUUGUGUUUCGGCAAUUACCUUCUUUUCCUAUGUAGGUUGUGAUGAGGUCGUUCUUUUCUUUUUAGCUUUGUACUCUGAGAUUAGAUACUAUUAUUUCUUCUAUAAUGAUCAAAUGCACUUCUCUUGCAUGGUUUCAAAAAAAUACCUCCAUUUAAUAUUCUUACAAUUUUAAUCAUAUAUGAACUGCUAAGGAACCAUACCACCUUUUUGUUUUACUGCUAUGUUUUUUACUAGCUAUUUUACUUCAAGUAGUCGAUUUAUAUUUAUUUUCUGAAACAAGUAGAUUUAUAUUUAUGAGCAUGCACUUGCAGUUCAGCAAUUCAUUCUCCAUGAAGAAUGACAAAAAUGUUGCACCUUAAUUAGGUAUUGUUUUCUAUGUUUUUAGUUAAGAUUUUUUAGCACAUCUUUUCCUUGAUAUUCAUAUUCAUAUUUAAGGUCCAUACCAGUGCACCGCCAACUAUUGUUUUGACUAACUUUUGUUGGUGUGAACCAAUCUCUUUGAAUUUUGUGAGAUAGUUUUGAUCAUAAAUGAAUUGUCGCAAAACUAUAUAAUCUCCAUGAUUACAAUGCCUCGAUUUUGUUUGUUUAACAUAACUGCUCUGUUCUUCUCAGCUUAUCCCAAUUUUCAGAACAUGUUCUGGGAGUGUCAAGCAUUUAUUUUCAAGGUCGACAGUUCCUCGUCGAACGGUGGACCUUUUACCAAGUAUGGGGUCGCUUCAGGCAAGAGGAAUAAGUUUUCCUUCGCUGCUAUCUUGGUCGCAUGCUCCUUUCAGCAAGAAUGUAACAACUUGAUGUUUGAAUGGUUCAAGGCUUAUGCUUUGUGCUUUGUAUCUCUCUGUCCGACAAGGUUUACGGUUUGUGUUUCGGCAAUUACCUUCUUUUCCUAUGUAGGUUGUGAUGAGGUUGUUCUUUUCUUUUGAGCUUUGUACUCUGAGAUUAGAUACUAUUAUUUCUUCUAUAAUGAUCAAAUGCACUUCUCUUGCAUGGUUUCAAAAAAACUACCUCCAUUUAAUAUUCUUACAACUUUAAUCAUACAUGAACUGCUAAGAAACCAUACCACCUUUCUGUUUUACUGCUAUGUUUUUUACUAGCUAUUUUACUUCAAGUAGUCGAUUUAUAUUUAUUUUCUGAAACAAGUAGAUUUAUAUUUAUGAGCAUGCACUUGCAGUUCAGCAAUUCAUUCUCCAUGAAGAAUGACAAAAAUGUUGCACCUUAAUUAGGUAUUGUUUUCUAUGUUUUUUGUUAAGAUUUUUUAGCACAUCUUUUCCUUGAUAUUCAUAUUCAUAUUUAAGGUCCAUAUCAGUGCACCUCCAACUAUUGUUUUGACUAACUUUUGUUGGUGUGAACCAAUCUCUUUGAAUUUUGUGAGAUAGUUUUGAUCAUAAAUGAAUUGUCGCAGAACUAUAUAAUCUCCAUGAUUACAAUGCCUCAAUUUUGUUUGUUUAACAUAACUGCUCUGUUCUUCUCAGCUUAUCCCAUUUUUCAGAACAUGUUCUGGGAGUGUCAAGCAUUUAUUUUCAAGGUCGACAGUUCCUCGUCGAACGGUGGACCUUUUACCAAGUAUGGGGUCGCUUCAGGCAAGAGGAAUAAGUUUUCCUUCGCUGCUAUCUUGGUCGCAUGCUCCUUUCAGCAAGAACGUAACAACUUGAUGUUUGAAUGGUUCAAGGCUUAUGCUUUGUGCUUUGUAUCUCGCUGUCCGACAAGGUUUACGGUUUGUGUUUCGGCAAUUACCUUCUUUUCCUAUGUAGGUUGUGAUGAGGUCGUUAUUUUCUUUUGAGCUUUGUACUCUGAGAUUAGAUACUAUUAUUUCUUCUAUAAUGACCAAAUGCACUUCUCUUGCAUGGUUUCAAAAAAAAUACCUCCAUUUAAUAUUCUUACAAUUUUAAUCAUAUAUGAACUGCUAAGGAACCAUACCACCUUUCUGUUUUACUGCUAUGUUUUUUACUAGCUAUUUUACUUCAAGUAGUCGAUUUAUAUUUAUUUUCUAAAACAAGUAGAUUUAUAUUUAUGAGCAUGCACUUGUAGUUCAGCAAUUCAUUCUCCAUGAAGAAUGACAAAAAUGUUGCACCUUAAUUAGGUAUUGUUUUCUAUGUUUUUAGUAAAGAUUUUUUAGCACAUCUUUUCCUUGAUAUUCAUAUUCAUAUUUAAGGUCCAUACCAGUGCACCUCCAACUAUUGUUUUGACUAACUUUAAUUGGUGUGAACCAAUCUCUUUGAAUUUUGUCAGAUAGUUUUGAUCAUAAAUGAAUUGUCGCAGAACUAUAUAAUCUCCAUGAUUACAAUGCCUCGAUUUUGUUUGUUUAACAUAACUGCUCUGUUCUUCUCAGCUUAUCCCAUUUUUCAGAACAUGUUCUGGGAGUGUUAAGCAUUUAUUUUCAAGGUCGACAGUUCCUCGUCGAACGGUGGACCUUUUACCAAGUAUGGGGUCGCUUCAGGCAAGAGGAAUAAGUUUUCCUUCGCUGCUAUCUUGGUCGCAUGCUCCUUUCAGCAAGAACGUAACAACUUGAUGUUUGAAUGGUUCAAGGCUUAUGCUUUGUGCUUUGUAUCUCUCUAUCCGACAAGGUUUACGGUUUGUGUUUCGGCAAUUACCUUCUUUUCCUAUGUAGGUUGUGAUGAGGUCGUUCUUUUCUUUUGAGCUUUGUACUCUGAGAUUAGAUACUAUUAUUUCUUCUAUAAUGAUCAAAUGCACUUCUCUUGCAUGGUUUCAAAAAAAAUACCUCCAUUUAAUAUUCUUACAAUUUCAAUCAUAUAUGAACUGCUAAGAAACCAUACCACCUUUUUUGUUUUACUACUAUGUUUUUUACUAGCUAUUUUACUUCAAGUAGUCGAUUUAUAUUUAUUUUUUGAAACAAGUAGAUUUAUAUUUAUGAGCAUGCACUUGCAGUUCAGCAAUUCAUUCUCCAUGAAGAAUCACAAAAAUGUUGCACCUUAAUUACGUAUUGUUUUCUACGUUUUUAGUUAAGAUUUUUUAGCACAUCUUUUCCUUGAUAUUCAUAUUCAUAUUUAAGGUCUAUACCAGUGCACCGCCAACUAUUGUUUUGACUAACUUUUGUUGGUGUGAACCAAUCUCUUUGAAUUUUGUCGGAUACUUUUGAUCAUAAAUGAAUUGUCGCAGAACUAUAUAAUCUCCAUGAUUACAAUGCCUCGAUUUUGUUUGUUUAACAUAACUGCUCUGUUCUUCUCAGCUUAUCCAGUUUUUCAGAACAUGUUCUGGGAGUGUCAAGCAUUUAUUUUCAAGGUCGACAGUUCCUCGUCGAACGGUGGACCUUUUACCAAGUAUGGGGUCGCUUCAGGCAAGAGGAAUAAGUUUUCCUUCGCUGCUAUCUUGGUCGCAUGCUCCUUUCAGCAAGAACGUAACAACUUGAUGUUUGAAUGGUUCAAGGCUUAUGCUUUGUGCUUUGUAUCUCUCUGUCCGACAAGGUUUACGGUUUGUGUUUCGGCAAUUACCUUCUUUUCCUAUGUAGGUUGUGAUGAGGUCGUUCUUUUCUUUUGAGCUUUGUACUCUGAGAUUAGAUACUAUUAUUUCUUCUAUAAUGAUCAAAUGCACUUCUCUUGCAUGGCUUCAAAAAAAAUACCUCCAUUUAAUAUUCUUACAAUUUUAAUCAUAUAUGAAUUGCUAAGGAACCAUACCACCUUUCUGUUUUACUGCUAUGUUUUUUACUAGCUAUUUUACUUCAAGUAGUCGAUUUAUAUUUAUUUUCUGAAACAAGUAGAUUUAUAUUUAUGAGCAUGCACUUGCAGUUCAGCAAUUCAUUCUCCAUGAAGAAUGACAAAAAUGUUGCACCUUAAUUAGGUAUUGUUUUCUAUGUUUUUAGUUAAGAUUUUUAGCACAUCUUUUCCUUGAUAUUCAUAUUCAUAUUUAAGGUCCAUACCAGUGCACCGCCAACUAUUGUUUUGACUAAAUUUUGUUGGUGUGAACCAAUCUCUUUGAAUUUUGUCAGAUAGUUUUGAUCAUAAAUGAAUUGUCGCAGAACUAUAUAAUCUCCAUGAUUACAAUGCCUCGAUUUUGUUUGUUUAACAUAACUGCUCUGUUCUUCUCAGCUUAUCCCAUUUUUCAGAACAUGUUCUGGGAGUAUCAAGCAUUUAUUUUCAAGGUCGACAAUUCCUCGUUGAACGGUGGACCUUUUACCAAGUAUGGGGUUGCUUCAGGCAAGAGGAAUAAGUUUUCCUUCGCUGCUAUCUUGGUCGCAUGCUCCUUUCAGCAAGAACGUAACAACUUGAUGUUUGAAUGGUUCAAGGCUUAUGCUUUGUGCUUUGUAUCUCUCUGUCCAACAAGGUUUACGGUUUGUGUUUCGGCAAUUACCUUCUUUUCCUAUGUAGGUUGUGCUGAGGUCGUUCUUUUCUUUUGAGCUUUGUACUCUGAGAUUAGAUACUAUUAUUUCUUCUAUAAUGAUCAAAUGCACUUCUCUUGCAUGGUUUCAAAAAAAUACCUCCAUUUAAUAUUCUUACAAUUUUAAUCAUAUAUGAACUGCUAAGGAACCAUACCACCUUUCUGUUUUACUGCUAUGUUUUUUACUAGCUAUUUUACUUCAAGUAGUCGAUUUAUAUUUAUUUUCUGAAACAAGUAGAUUUAUAUUUAUGAGCAUGCACUUGCAGUUCAGCAAUUCAUUCUCCAUGAAGAAUGACAAAAAUGUUGCACCUUAAUUAGGUAUUGUUUUCUAUGUUUUUAGUUAAGAUUUUUUAGCACAUCUUUUCCUUGAUAUUCAUAUUCAUAUUUAAGGUCCAUACCAGUGCACCGCCAACUAUUGUUUUGACUAACUUUUGUUGGUGUGAACCAAUCUCUUUGAAUUUUGUCAGAUAGUUUUGAUCAUAAAUGAAUUGUCGCAGAACUAUAUAAUCUCCAUGAUUACAAUGCCUCGAUUUUGUUUGUUUAACAUAACUGCUCUGUUCUUCUCAGCUUAUCCCAUUUUUCAGAACAUGUUCUGGGAGUGUCAAGCAUUUAUUUUCAAGGUCGACAGUUCCUUGUCGAACGGUGGACCUUUUACCAAGUAUGGGGUCGCUUCAGGCAAGAGGAAUAAGUUUUCCUUCGCUGCUAUCUUGGUCGCAUGCUCCUUUCAGCAAGAAUGUAACAACUUGAUGUUUGAAUGGUUCAAGGCUUAUGCUUUGUGCUUUGUAUCUCUCUGUCCAACAAGGCUUACGGUUUGUGUUUCGGCAAUUACCUUCUUUUCCUAUGUAGGUUGUGAUGAGGUCGUUCUUUUCUUUUGAGCUUUGUACUCUGAGAUUAGAUACUAUUAUUUCUUCUAUAAUGAUCAAAUGCACUUCUCUUGCAUGGUUUCAAAAAAAAUAUCUCCAUUUAAUAUUCUUACAAUUUUAAUCAUAUAUGAACUGCUAAGGAACCAUACCACCUUUCUGUUUUACUGCUAUGUUUUUACUAGCUAUUUUACUUCAAGUAGUCGAUUUAUAUUUAUUUUCUGAAACAAGUAGAUUUAUAUUUAUGAGCAUGCACUUGCAGUUCAGCAAUUCAUUCUCCAUGAAGAAUGACAAAAAUGUUGCACCUUAAUUAGGUAUUGUUUUUUAUGUUUUUAGUUAAGAGUUUUUAGCACAUCUUUUCCUUGAUAUUCAUAUUCAUAUUUAAGGUCCAUACUAGUGCACCGCCAACUAUUGUUUUGACUAACUUUUGUUGGUGUGAACCAAUCUCUUUGAAUUUUGUCAGAUAGUUUUGAUCAUAAAUGAAUUUUCGCAGAACUAUAUAAUCUCCAUGAUUACAAUGCCUCGAUUUAAUAUUCUUACAGUUUUAAUCAUAUAUGAACUGCUAAGGGACCAUAUGACCUUUUUGUUUGACUACUAAGAUUUUUUUACUACUAGCUACUUUAUUUGUAGUAGUCAAUUUAUAUUGUGUUUUGAAACAAGUAGAUUUUUAUUUAUCAGCAUGCACUUUCAGUUCAGUAAACUGGAGUAUGCAUUAGUUCAUUCUCCAUGAAGUAAUGAUGAAAAUGUUGCACCUUAAUGAGGUAUUAUUUUCUAUUUAUUUAGUACGUUUUGUACUACAAGAGGCACUAAACAUAGGACUUGUAGUGUAACCGGAUCUAUACAUGAUUAAGUAUAUAUACUCAAGUACCUACUGAGUCUCAGUUUUGUUUAUUGCACAGACUUUGUGUGCAUGCAUACAUAAUUUUUUAGAACAAUGACUAUGUUGCAUGCUGGUGUCCCUAUGUUUCUAUCCACAAGGCUAUAUAUGUGCCUUAUCAUCAGAAAUAAAAUGAGUAAUAGGGGCUGAGGAGCAGUGGCGGAGCCAGGAUUCGAGUAUAGGGGGGCCGAAUACAUAUAUUGAUCUAAUCUCGUUGGUAAUUACUCAUCGCUGCUACUAAAAUUGUCGAUCACUGGGGGGCAGGCCCCUGCUCGUCCCCCUGGCUCCGCCCCUGCUGAGGAGAAUGUACAUUUUGUAGCUAGCUGAGCACAAUGGAUAACAAUACAUCGUAUGUAUGGAUUCUGAACUAUGUAAAGAUGAGGAGACAGAGUCAUAACAUGCCUUUUGUUACUUUGUUGUUCAUCUUUAGAACUAGAGAGAGGGAAAGAGAGAGUUGCUAGCCCAUACUACUUGAGACUGAAGGUCAUUUUUCUAUAUACUACCACAUAUGAUGGCAUGUAGUUCUUGUAUAUACAUAUACUUGAGAUGUUAUGGAUAAAGUUGGAGUCAUGAAUCUAAGCUUACCUUUUUUACUACUUUAUUCCUUAUUCCUUUUAGGGAACAAUAAUAUAGCAUGAUGUAGUUCUUGUAUAUAUAUAUAUACUUGAGAUGUUCUUGAGCGGAGUAUCCCUGGUCUUAAAACUUCUUGAGCCCCAUAAACAGAAAUGACAAAGUGAUAGCGCUAAUAAGGUGAAUUCAAAGCUAGAUUCAUGGGGUGGUUGUUGCUUUUUCAUUCUGAGUUGUGUUUCGUUUACAUUAAACUUUUCCCAUUCCCUUCACCCCUGCCGAGACAUUGGUUGAUGUGAAGCCCAGAACAAAUUCAAUUGCACAAUUAUUCACAUUAAUGAGUGUGGGUUGCAGGGAUGUUACGAUUGUCACAUGUCCUCCUUGAUUUAAGGCGUGCCCUUCACAUGUAAGCAUUUCUUGCAGGAAACAACAAGAGCUCGCAACUAUUCACUAGACUAGGAAGAAAUGCAUACAUAAAAAGGAAGCUAUUGCAAGUGCACAGAUGAGGAUGAGACAGAGAAGUAGCCAAGCAUGAGACAGAUCGUCAUCAUACUUUAUCUUCUUGUAUUUCAGGUGGCACUUAGGUGUGGGGGAAUGGACAUGGUGAUUGCUAGGAAGGGAGUUGAGUGGGAGCAAGACAUAGAACUUUGUGAACGAAUUUAAAUUCUGAAGGGAAAGGCAUUUUGCAAUACAGGGCCGGAAAACUUCACUCUAGGUUGUAUAUAAACAAUCUAGCAACUAAUAUGCACUUAGUUUAUUUUUUACA